GUCGAGAAUCUUUCACAAUGGGGGCAACCCUGAUGGAGCGACGCCGCGUGGAGGAUAAGGUCUUCGGAUUGUAAACUCCUGUCAUGCGUGAACAAGGUUGCUUGGUUAAUACCUGGGCAAAUUGAUGGUAACGCAAGAGGAAGAGACGGCUAACUCUGUGCCAGCAGCCGCGGUAAUACAGAGGUCUCAAGCGUUGUUCGGAAUCACUGGGCGUAAAGGGUGCGUAGGUGGCGUGGUAAGUCAGAUGUGAAAGCCCGGGGCUCAACCUCGGAACUGCAUCCGAUACGGCCAUGCUAGAGUACUGGAGAGGUGACUAGAAUUCUCGGUGUAGCAGUGAAAUGCGUAGAUAUCGAGAGGAAUACCAAAGGCGUAGGCAGGUCACUGGACAGUUACUGACACUGAGGCACGAAGGCCAGGGGAGCGAACGGGAUUAGAUACCCGUGUAGUCC
rnacentral:rRNA from 1 species